rnacentral:rRNA from 1 species
AUUGAACGCUGGCGGCAGGCUUAACACAUGCAAGUCGAGCGGGGGAAGGUAGCUUGCUACCGGACCUAGCGGCGGACGGGUGAGUAAUGCUUAGGAAUCUGCCUAUUAGUGGGGGACCACAUCUCGAAAGGGAUGCUAAUACCGCAUACGUCCUACGGCAGAAAGCAGGGGAUCUUCGGACCUUGCGCUAAUAGAUGAGCCUAAGUCGGAUUAGCUAGUUGGUGGGGUAAAGGCCUACCAAGGCGACGAUCUGUAGCGGGUCUGAGGGGAUGAUCCGCCACACUGGGACUGAGACACGGCCCAGACUCCGACGGGAGGCAGCAGUGGGGAAUAUUGGACAAUGGGGGCAACCCUGAUCCAGCAAUGCCGCGUGAGUGAUGAAGGCCUUAGGGUUGUAAAACCCUGUCGUCAGGGACGAAGGUGGCAGUGUUAAUAGCGCUGUUACUUGACGGUACCUGGAGAGGAAGCCCCGGCUAACUCUGUGCCAGCAGCCGCCGUAA